AAAUCCUCAGGGCCCAUGUCCGGAGGAUCGAAGGUGGCCUCUGAUUCAAGCUGUCACUGGAGGAUGAGCCUGCGUCUGAUUAGCUUGUUGGUGGGGUAAGGCCUACCAAGGCAAUGAUCAGUAGCCGACCUGAGAGGGUGAUCGGCCACACUGGAACUGAGACACGGUCCAGACUCCUACGGGAGGCAGCAGUGGGGAAUAUUGCGCAAUGGACGGAAGUCUGACGCAGCAACGCCGCGUGGGUGAGGAAGGCCUUCGGGUUGUAAAGCCCUGUCGGGUGGAACGAAAUACCCCAAGCGAAUAACUCGGGGGAAUGACGGUACCACCAAAGGAAGCCGGCAAACUACGUGCCAGCAGCCGCGGUAAUACGUAKGGGGCGAGCGGUUCGGAAUUACUGGGCGUAAAGAGCGCGUAGGCGGUCAGAUAAAGUGGCGUGAAAUCCCUCAGCUCAACUGAGGKUAUGCGCUUGAAACUAUCUGACUUUGAGU
rnacentral:rRNA from 1 species